UUGUAGGGUAUUAUUCUUUCAAUAAAAUGCAGCUACAAAGAUGAAUCAAUACCUCAUUUCAUUAACUAAUGAAUAAUAUCAUAAUAUGAGUUGCAAGUUUGCAAAGAAAAAUCCCAUCAUAUUUCUUAUGUGAUUGACUUGUAAGGUACUUUUCUUUCAGAAUUGUCGAUCCGAAGAUUAAAAAAAUUAAGAUCUAAGGAUCAAUUAGAAAUUGAUCUGGA
rnacentral:lncRNA from 1 species